rnacentral:rRNA from 1 species
GACGAACCGUGCGAACGUUGUUCGGAAUCACUGGGCUUAAAGGGCGCGUAGGCGGCGGUUCAAGUCCGGGGUGAAAGCCCCCAGCUCAACUGGGGAAGUGCCUCGGAUACUGAUUCGCUUGAGGGAGGUAGGGGCGGAUGGAACUUCCGGUGGAGCGGUGAAAUGCGUUGAUAUCGGAAGGAACGCCGGUGGCGAAAGCGAUCCGCUGGCCCUCUUCUGACGCUGAGGCGCGAAAGCCAGGGGAGCAAACGGG